GACGAACGCUGGCGGCGUGCUUAACACAUGCAAGUCGAACGAAGUGGCGCACGGGUGAGUAACGCGUAAUCCACCUGCCCUUCAGAGGGGGACAACAGUUGGAAACGACUGCUAAUACCUCAUACUUAAGGUGGGGAUUGCGUUUGAUUAGCUAGUUGGAGGGGUAACGGCCCACCAAGGCGAUGAUCAGUAGCCGGUUUGAGAGGAAGAACGGCCACAAUGGGACUGAGACACGGCCCAGACCCCUACGGGAGGCAGCAGUGGGGAAACAUCCGAAAUGGGCGAAAGUCUGACGGAGCAACGCCGCGUGAGUGAUGACGGCCUUCGGGUUGUAAAGCUCUGUUAAUCGGGACGCGGUACCGGAAGAGAAAGCCACGGCUAACUACGUGCCAGCCGCCGCGGUAAUAC
rnacentral:rRNA from 1 species